GUUAACUGUACUUAACUGUAUAAUUUUAAGUCACAAGUGUUAAGGAAAUAUAAUGAGACACCAUAAUUCCAUGGGAUCAAGCAUUACUUCACCAAACUUAAGCAUUCGUUUGUUUUCCACCAAGUGCUGAUCUUUAUGAAACCCUAUAGACAUUAAAUUGGACUUUGGAACAGGUCAUUAUAGCAGAUUUAAAGAACAAGGCAGAUGUAAAGGCUAUACCAUAUACUCAAAUUCAUCAUUCUAGAAAGGUUGCCUUAGCCAUAACCUGUCAGAAAGUAUGUGAAGUUGAUCCUGUUGGAGUACACUGUACCUCUCCUCAGAAUCUCAACUUUCCAAAUGUGGGAAUGGAAUGUCACUUUGAUUUUCAUCUUGAGAGGGCAUUUUUGUUCCUUCUUUUGAAGUCUGAGAUUUGUAACUUCUGUUUUUAGUAUCUUUGUAUGCUAAACUGCAUAUAGUGGUUUCUCAAAUCGAAACUCCGGUGGAACCAUAAAAAUAAAAUGACAUAUUUAAUCAGUUGGAAAAAUCAA